CGUUCCCGGGCCUUGUACACACCGCCCGUCACGUCACGAAAGUCGGUAACACCCGAAGCCGGUGGCCCAACCCCCUUGUGGGGAGGGAGCUGUCGAAGGUGGGACUGGCGAUUGGGGCG
rnacentral:rRNA from 1 species